CAAGUCGAACGCGAAAGUCCCCUUCGGGGGACGAGUAGAGUGGCGUGCGGGUGAGUAACACGUAGGUAAUCUACCUUCGGGUGGGGAAUAACGCAGGGAGACUUGCGCUAAUACCGCAUAAUGCAGCGGCACCACAUGGUGACAGUUGUUAAAGCGGGGGAUUUUCGAACCUCGCGCCUGAAGAGGAGCCUGCGGCAGAUUAGCUAGUUGGUAGGGUAACGGCUUACCAAGGCGACGAUCUGUAGCCGGCCUGAGAGGGCGGUCGGCCACACUGACACUGACAUACGGGUCAGACUCCUACGGGAGGCAGCAGUCGGGAAUUUUGGGCAAUGGGCGAAAGCCUGACCCAGCAACGCCGCGUGAAGGAUGAAAUCCUUCGGGAUGUAAACUUCGCAAGAAUAGGAAGAAUGAGCGAGCGCUAACACCGUUCGUGAUGACGGUACUAUUUGUAAGCUCCGGCUAACUCCGUGCCAGCAGCCGCGGUAAUACGGGGGGAGCAAGCGUUGUUCGGAUUUACUGGGCGUAAAGGGCGCGUAGGCGGUCAGCACAAGUCAGUUGUGAAAUCUCCGGGCUUAACUCGGAAAGGUCAACUGAUACUGUGCGACUAGAGUGCAGAAGGGGCAACUGGAAUUCUCGGUGUAGCGGUGAAAUGCGUAGAUAUCGAGAGGAACACCUGCGGCGAAGGCGGGUUGCUGGGCUGACACUGACGCUGAUGCGCGAAAGCCAGGGGAGCGAACGGGAUUAGAUACCCCGGUAGUCCUGGCCUUAAACGAUGGAUGCUUGGUGUCUGGAGUUUUAUAGUCUCCGGGUGCCGUAGCUNACGCGUUAAGCAUCCCGCCUGGGGAGUACGGUCGCAAGACUGAAACUCAAAGGAAUUGACGGGGACCC
rnacentral:rRNA from 1 species